rnacentral:rRNA from 1 species
UACAGAGGUCUCAAGCGUUGUUCGGAUUUACUGGGCGUAAAGGGCGUGCAGGCGGUUUGUUAAGUCUAGGGUGAAAGCUCCCGGCUCAACUGGGAGAGGUCCUUGGAUACUGGCAGACUUGAGGAGGGUAGAGGAGAGUGGAAUUCCCGGUGUAGUGGUGAUAUGCGUAGAUAUCCGGAGGAACACCGGUGGCGAAGGCGGCUUCCUGGACCGACACUGACGCUGAGGCGCGAAAGCUAGGGGAGCAAACGGG